rnacentral:rRNA from 1 species
UACGAAGGGGGCUAGCGUUGUUCGGAAUUACUGGGCGUAAAGGGCGCGUAGGCGGCCAUGCGUGUCUUCCGUGAAAUCCCUCGGCUCAACCGAGGACGUGCGGAAGAAACUGCAAGGCUCGAGUCCGGAAGAGGGGGGCGGAAUUCCCAGUGUAGCGGUGAAAUGCGUAGAUAUUGGGAGGAACACCAGUGGCGAAGGCGGUCCCCUGGGCCGGAACUGACGCUGAGGCGCGAAAGCGUGGGUAGCAAACGGG